UACAAAAAAGCUUUCCCAACUUAUUUAUGCCACCACGGUUAUUUAGGAUUUGAGUACUCCAACAAGUCCAAGCUUUACUUAGCUUUUUGGAGAGAGAGAGAGAGAGAAAGACAGAGCCAGUUGGUUGUGUUUACCACCAAUUUUAACUUUUUUCCCUGGGACCGUGAAAUCCUUGUGCCUCAAACUCAAGUGGGUCAUUCUUUUCUACGAGGUCCUACUCUCUCUCUCUCUCCCACUUGCUGGUCUUUGCUGUCUCAGCCUGUGUUACAACCUGCCCUCUUUUUCAAACUUCCCCAAUAGAUAAUUCUCUCUUUUCUAUGUUCCCUACUUCUACUUCUUCUUCUUCUCCAUAUCCAAGUAAGAUCCAAUUUUUCUUUCUUUUUCUCAUCUGGGUAUUCAUUCAUUCGGAUUGUUCUGCUUCUUCAAGGUAAUAAAAAGAUCAAGAAGUUCUGAUAUUUGUAUAGCUUGUGCUCUUUCAUUGAAUACUUGUUUGUUUCUGUAUUAUGUUCAAAACAUGGUCUUUCUGUAAUAAGGAAGGUGUUAGCUAUCAAUUCAAGCAUCUGGGGUACUCUUGAUAUUGUGUGAGCUUUACUGGGUAUUGGUAUUGCAUGUAAUGGUUGAUGUAGCUUUUGGAUUUGAGAGGUUUGUUUGGGGUCACUUGUGGGGUUUAAGGGAUGGGAUGUGUUGGACAAAAGGGGCUUUUUGUAUGAGUAUGAACUUUUCUUUUUUGGUGGAAUAGUGGUUGUGAUUUCAUGCUUGGUCCAAGACAAUGGAGUGGUUUAUGGCCAGAUUUUUACUUCUUUAGCAUUCAAAACUUUAGCUUAGUGAAAAUAUUAAUAUGAAAAACUUUCUUAAGAAGCUUCAUAUCAUGUCCAAUCAAUCAGAAGAUGCAGAAGGGUCUACUUCAUCAAAGGGAAAUAACAAGCCCAAUGAAGGGUCAUCCCCUGAUAGGAUUUUGCACUCUAGGCCCCAUCAUAAUUUUGAGCAUAAACCUCUUUCAGGGCUUUCAGGUUGGUUGAAUUCAGUUGCUAAUAGACGCAGCCCCAGUCCUCCAUUAUCUUCGAAUGAGACAAGAGGAGAGAACAUGGAACCAUCUGAUUCAGCUAGUACUGGCGGUUUAGAUGUCCCUUUGGAUGCAGUUAGGCGCGAUUCGGGUUCUAGUAACUCGAGGGAUCCGGAUAUAGAGGAAGAGUAUCAGAUACAAUUGGCUUUAGAGUUGAGUGCCAAGGAGGAUCCUGAGGCAGUUCAAAUCGAGGCUGUAAAGCAGAUCAGUUUAGGCUCCUGUGCUCUUGAUAAUACUCCAGCUGAAGUUGUUGCCUACCGAUACUGGAAUUACAAUUCUCUUAGCUAUGAUGACAAGAUCUUGGAUGGUUUCUAUGACCUGUACGGAGUUAUGACGGAAUCAGCCACAGAAAGAAUGCCAUCCCUUGUUGAUCUGCAAAGAACAUCAGUGUCAGACGGUGUCACCUGGGAAGCCAUUUUGGUCAAUAGGGUUGCUGAUGCUAAUUUGUUGAAACUUGAACAGAAGGCUCUAGAGAUGGCUGUCAAAUCAAGGUCCAAUUCUCUAGUUAUUCUAGGUAGUGAUUUGGUGCGAAAGCUUGCUAUUUUAGUUGCUGACUCUAUGGGUGGACCAGUUGGGAAUCCUGAGAACAUGUUGAGAGCAUGGCGAAGUCUCAGUUACAAUUUAAAAGCAACCCUUGGUAGCAUGGUUUUGCCGCUUGGUUCUCUGAAAGUUGGAUUGGCUCGUCACCGAGCGUUGUUGUUUAAGGUUCUGGCUGAUAGUGUGGGUUUCCCAUGCCGAUUGGUGAAAGGGCAGCAAUACACGGGUUCUGACGAUGUGGCAAUGAACUUUGUAAAGAUUGAUGAUGGAAGGGAGUAUAUUGUUGAUCUAAUGGCAGAUCCUGGUACACUUAUUCCAUCUGAUGCAGCUGGGUCGCAUAUAGACUAUGACGAAUCUUUCUAUUCAGCCAGUCCUUUGUCUAGAGAUAUUGAUUCCUCUCAUAUGGCCUCUUCAAGCAGUGGGGUUGGGAGUUCAUUUGAAGAACAUUCAGACUUUGGGAUAUUUGAGAAGAGGACUAGGGUCAGUAAUUUAGCUGCUUUAGGAAAAGAAUCUGAGGAUAGAAGCGAUUUCACUUCUUCUGCAAAUAUAAACAGGCCAACUAAAAUUGAGGAAGAGCAGAAGGUUUCCUCAGAAGAUUUUAGAAAUCCCUCCAGUGUAGAGAAGGUGCCGGUGCGGGAGGCUCCUGGCCGGCCUAAUUAUCCUUACAUGCAUGCAAGAUCUCCUUCUUGGACUGAAGGUGUUAGCUCCCCUGCUGUACGUAGAAUGAAAGUGAAAGAUGUUUCACAGUACAUGAUUAAUGCUGCCAAAGAGAAUCCACAAUUAGCUCAGAAACUUCAUGAUGUGCUACUGGAGAGUGGUGUUGUUGCUCCACGAAACUUGUUUACUGAAAUUUAUUCUGAGCAGUUAGACGUGUUGACAGCUGAGGCCAAGUCCCCGACUGAAGAUAGGGAAGAAGAUAAGCAGGGAUUUGGAACUCAAGAAAUCAAAGCUCAAGACGAUCCUGGUCCUGCUUGCUUUUUGCCUCCUCUACCUCCUCAGAGAGUGCACUCUAAAGCAAGUAAUUCUUCUGGUCAACCAGAGAAUUUUAAACCGGUGGAAUUUUUUGGGAGUAACUUUCCGCUUGAUACAGCAGAAGUAACUGGACAGCUGAUCUCAUCACAAUCUGAAGUGACUCCUGUAAAAUAUACAAAAAACGUACCUGUAGCUGCUGCUGCAGCAGCGGCAGCUGCUGUUGUAGCAUCUUCAAUGGUAGUUGCUGCUGCAAAGUCAAGCACUGACUCCAAUCUUGAACUUCCUGUAGCAGCUGCUGCCACUGCUACUGCUGCAGCUGUGGUAGCAACAACUGCAGCUGUUAGUAAGCAAUACGAGCAGGGUGCAAGAAGUGAUGGAGAUGCAGAUGGUUCUAGUUCUGGGACACGUGGUAGUGGUGACCGGCAGCAUGAUGCUUCUGGAGCCAAUUCAGAGGGUGAGAUAAUAUCAGAUAGAUCGGGAGGUAAUGAUAGUACAAAAUCUGACGGUGCACUUGAUGAAGUUGCAGAAUGUGAGAUUCCAUGGGAGGAAAUCACCUUGGGUGAACGUAUUGGACUUGGAUCAUAUGGGGAGGUUUAUCAUGGAGACUGGCAUGGAACUGAAGUGGCUGUGAAGAGAUUUCUAGACCAAGCUAUUUCUGGUGACUCACUUGAAGAGUUCAGAAGUGAGGUUCGGAUAAUGAAAAGACUCAGGCAUCCUAAUGUUGUUCUAUUCAUGGGAGCUGUAACACGUACCCCAAAUCUUUCAAUCAUCACUGAAUUUCUUCCCAGAGGUAGUUUGUAUAGGUUGCUUCAUCGGCCUAACAAUCAAUUAGAUGAAAGAAGGCGCUUGAGGAUGGCCCUUGAUGCUGCUCGGGGAAUGAACUAUCUUCACAACUGCUCUCCCAUGAUAGUGCACCGAGAUUUGAAGUCCCCAAAUCUUCUUGUUGAUAAAAAUUGGGUUGUGAAGGUGUGCGAUUUUGGGUUAUCACGAAUGAAACAUAGCACAUUUCUCUCUUCAAGGUCAACUGCAGGGACAGCUGAGUGGAUGGCCCCAGAAGUGCUAAGAAAUGAACCUUCAAAUGAAAAGAGUGACGUUUAUAGCUUUGGGGUCAUACUAUGGGAACUCUCAACGAUGCAACAACCGUGGGGGGGAAUGAACCCAAUGCAAGUUGUUGGUGCAGUUGGAUUUCAACAUCGGCGUCUUGACAUUCCAGAUGAUAUGGAUCCUUCCAUUGCAGAUAUUAUUCGGAAAUGCUGGCAGACAGAUCCAAAAUUGAGACCAUCAUUUACUGAGAUCAUGGCCGCUCUGAAGCCGUUGCAGAAGCCCAUAACCAGUUCUCAAGUUCCUAGACAAACUGCAUUAGUUGGUAGCGCCCGCGAAAGGCCUCAACCGUCACAAGUUGCAGAAGAUCCAGCCGGCUAGAAGAGAGAGUCAGCAAGCUAACUGAUUUGCUGCUUGUUGGACUGCCAACAUUUGGAGCUUCGGAUCAUGGUAAACCCCAAAGCUGUCGUAAUUCAUCAGAAUUCGAGCAGAUUGAAUAUCAUCCUAAUGACCGAGAUUGAGAGUGAAAAAAAAAAAAAAAAAAUUUCAAAGUCCUUAGAUCAUAAAAACGAAAAAGUUAAAAAUGCUUUCGAUCCAAGAUUGAAAGUUAAUUUUUUGACCCUCAAUAUCAGUCAUUGAUAAUUACUGCAUCCCAUUACACGGGAUCCAAAUCCAAUUCUAGCACAACUAAUUGAUUCUUCUAAAGGUGCCUUGAAAAUUGUAUUAAAAACUAAAGAGGGAUCACCAUUCACCAUUCCUCAAUAACACAUCAUUAAUGAUUCCUUUGUUACAUAAGAGGAUGUUUGUAUCAUAAAUAACAGUGCUAUUUUAAAAGGGGAUUCCCUAUCUAAAACUAAGUAUGUUGUUUUCGUGUCCCAUCCAAUGCACUAGACCGAAGCUUCAUCUUUCAACAGGACACUUUCAUGUCUUGGACAUCAUGGCUGCUAUGUAGUCAUAUUUACUUGGCAACCCUACCCCUACUUGGUUGUUAUUAAAUAGUUUCAUAUCAGCUAAAAUGUAUAAUAGUUUCAUCUAGGUUUCAGGCAUCGAAGUGCAAUCAGAACCAGUUUUUCUUGUUCCAAGAUAGAUGUAGCCCACUUUUACAUUCUGAAACUGAAAAGAGUUCAUCCUUUCUUAAACGUAACAAAAUUGUUUUCAAGUUUCUUUACGUUUUUUAUGCAGCCACACACACACACACA